GGUGCUAUCGUCCAGUGGUUAAGACAUCACGUUGUGGUUGUACACAUCCCAAGUACAGUUAACACUAUAAAUACACUGUCACGCAAAUACAUUGCCGUGAAAACGCCGGUUCGAUUCCGGCUAGCGCCA